rnacentral:rRNA from 1 species
UACGGAGGAUGCGAGCGUUAUCCGGAUUUAUUGGGUUUAAAGGGUGCGUAGGCGGAAUAUCAAGUCAGCGGUAAAAAUUCGGGGCUCAACCCCGUCGUGCCGUUGAAACUGAUGUUCUUGAGUGGGCGAGAAGUAUGCGGAAUGCGUGGUGUAGCGGUGAAAUGCAUAGAUAUCACGCAGAACACCGGUGGCGAAAGCGGCUCUCUGGCCUGUAACUGACACUGAGGCUCGAAAGCGUGGGGAGCAAACAGG